UAGGGAAUCUUCGGCAAUGGGGGGAACCCUGACCGAGCAACGCCGCGUGAGUGAAGAAGGUUUUCGGAUCGUAAAGCUCUGUUGUUAAGGAAGAACGAGUGUGAGAAUGGAAAGUUCAUACUGUGACGGUACUUAACCAGAAAGGGACGGCUAACUACGUGCCAGCAGCCGCGGUAAUACGUAGGUCCCGAGCGUUGUCCGGAUUUAUUGGGCGUAAAGCGAGCGCAGGCGGUUAGAUAAGUCUGAAGUUAAAGGCAGUGGCUCAACCAUUGUAGGCUUUGGAAGCUGUUGAACUUGAGUGCAGAAGGGGAGAGGGGAAUUCCAUGUGUAGCGGUGAAAUGCGUAGUUAUAUGGAGGAACGCCGGUGGCGAAAGCGGCUCUCUGGUCUGUAACUGACGCUGAGGCUCGAAAGCGUGGGGAGCGAACAGG
rnacentral:rRNA from 1 species